AUUGAACGCUGGCGGCAUGCCUUACACAUGCAAGUCGAACGAGUGGCGAACGGGUGAGUAAUACAUCGGAACGUGCCCUGUAGUGGGGGAUAACUAGUCGAAAGACUAGCUAAUACCGCAUACUAUAGGAGCGGCCGAUGUCUGAUUAGCUAGUUGGUGGGGUAAAGGCCUACCAAGGCGACGAUCAGUAGCUGGUCUGAGAGGACGAUCAGCCACACUGGGACUGAGACACGGCCCAGACUCCUACGGGAGGCAGCAGUGGGGAAUAUUGGGCAAUGGGCGCAAGCCUGACCCAGCAACGCCGCGUGAAGGAAGACGGUCUUCGGAUUGUAAACUUCUUUAGACAGGGACGCGGUACCUGUAGAAUAAGCCACGGCUAACUACGUGCCAGCAGCCGCGGUAAUUC
rnacentral:rRNA from 1 species